GAGGAUGUAGCUCAGUGGUAGAGCGUGUGCUUAGCAUGCACAAGGUCCUGGGUUCAAUCCCCAGUGCCUCCA
rnacentral:tRNA from 1 species